CCUACGGGUGGCAGCAGUGGGGAAUAUUUCGCAAUGGGCGCAAGCCUGACGCAGCGACGCCGCGUGAGGGAUGAAGGUCUUCGGAUCGUAAACCUCUGUCAGCAGGGAAGAACGGUCACUGUGCUAAUCAGCAGUGCCUUGACGGUACCUGCAAAGGAAGCAACGGCUAACUCCGUGCCAGCAGCCGCGGUAAUACGGAGGGUGCGAGCGUUAAUCGGAAUUACUGGGCGUAAAGCGAUCGUAGGCGGUAUGUCAAGUCAAGGGUGAAAUCCCCGCGCGCAACGUGGGAACUGCCUUGGAAACUGGCAAACUGGAGUGUGUGAGAGGAGAGUGGAAUGCCAGGGGGAGGAGUGAAAGCCGUAGAGAUCUGGAGGAACAGCAGUGGCGAAGGCGACUAUCUGGCACAUAACUGACGCUGAGGAGCGAAAGCGUGGGUAGCAAACAGGAUUAGAUACCCCUGUAGUC
rnacentral:rRNA from 1 species